rnacentral:ribozyme from 1 species
AAAAGAGAAAUCAACAACAAAGAGAAAGGAAGAAGAAGAAGCCUCUUUCUCUUUCUCUUGGGAAACCAAAUUUCUUUCCCUCUCUUUUCUCUUUCUCUUUCUCUUUCUCUUUC